rnacentral:rRNA from 1 species
GAGGAAGUAAAGUCGUAACAGGUUUCCGUAGGUGAACCUGCGGAAGGAUCAUUAUUGAAAUAAACCUGAUGGGUUGUUGCUGGCUCUCUAGGGAGCAUGUGCACGCCUUGUCAUCUUUAUAUCUCCACCUGUGCACCUUUUGUAGACCUUUCGGGGUCUAUGUUGCUUCAUUUUUCCACAAUGUAUGUUAAUAGAAUGUUGUGCCCUGUAUAAUAUAUACAACUUUCAGCAACGGAUCUCUUGGCUCUCGCAUCGAUGAAGAACGCAGCGAAAUGCGAUAAGUAAUGUGAAUUGCAGAAUUCAGUGAAUCAUCGAAUCUUUGAACGCACCUUGCGCUCCUUGGUAUUCCGAGGAGCAUGCCUGUUUGAGUGUCAUUAAUAUACAUAUAUCAAGCCUUCUCUUGUAGAAGGGUUUGGAUGUGGGGGUUUGCUGGCCUCUUAAUCUUAAGAGUUCAGCUCUCCUGAAAUGCAUUAGCAGAACAACCUUAUGUUCAUUGGUGUGAUAACUAUCUACGCUAUUGAAUGUUGAGGGGCAAGUUCAGCUUUCUAACGGUCCUUGGACAAACUCAUCAUUAAUGUGACCUCAAAUCAGGUAGGACUACCCGCUGAACUUAAGCAUAUCAAUAAGCGGAGGAAAAGAAACUAACAAGGAUUCCCCUAGUAACUGCGAGUGAAGCGGGAAAAGCUCAAAUUUAAAAUCUGGCGGUUUUUUUGGCCGUCCGAGUUGUAAUCUAGAGAAGUGUUAUCCGCGCUGGACCGUGUACAAGUCUCCUGGAAUGGAGCAUCAUAGAGGGUGAGAAUCCCGUCUUUGACAUGGACUGCCAGGGCUUUGUGAUGCGCUCUCAAGAGUCGAGUUGUUUGGAAUGCAGCUCAAAAUGGGUGGUAAUUCCAUCUAAGCUAAUAUUGCGAGAGACGAUGCGACAGUACGUAGGAAGAUAAAGACUUGAAGAGUUA